rnacentral:rRNA from 1 species
UGGGCAGGUUGAAGGUUGGGUAACACUAACUGGAGGACCGAACCGACUAAUGUUGAAAAAUUAGCGGAUGACCUGUGGCUGGGGGUGAAAGGCCAAUCAAACCGGGAGAUAGCUGGUUCUCCCCGAAAGCUAUUUAGGUAGCGCCUCGUGAAUUCAUCUCCGGGGGUAGAGCACUGUUUCGGCUAGGGGGUCAUCCCGACUUACCAACCCGAUGCAAACUGCGAAUACCGGAGAAUGUUAUCACGGGAGACACACGGCGGGUGCUAACGUCCGUCGUGAAGAGGGAAACAACCCAGACCGCCAGCUAAGGUCCCAAAGUCAUGGUUAAGUGGGAAACGAUGUGGGAAGGCCCAGACAGCCAGGAUGUUGGCUUAGAAGCAGCCAUCAUUUAAAGAAAGCGUAAUAGCUCACUGGUCGAGUCGGCCUGCGCGGAAGAUGUAACGGGGCUAAACCAU